GACGAACGCUGGCGGCGUGCUUAACACAUGCAAGUCGAGCGGAAAGGCCACUUCGGUGGUACUCGAGCGGCGAACGGGUGAGUAACACGUGAGUAAUCUGCCCCUGGCUUUGGGAUAGCCACCGGAAACGGUGAUUAAUACCGGAUACGACCACUUCUCGCAUGGGAUGGUGGUGGAAAGUUUUUCGGCCAGGGAUGUGCUCGCGGCCUAUCAGCUUGAUGGUGAGGUAAUGGCUCACCAUGGCUUCGACGGGUAGCCGGCCUGAGAGGGUGUCCGGUCACACUGGGACUGAGACACGGCCCAGACUCCUACGGGAGGCAGCGGUGGGGAAUAUUGGACAAUGGGCGGAAGCCUGAUCCAGCAACGCCGCGUGAGGGAUGACGGCCUUCGGGUUGUAAACCUCUUUCAGUACCGACGAAGCGCAAGUGACGGUAGGUACAGAAGAAGCACCGGCCAACUACGUGCCAGCCGCCGCAGUAAAAC
rnacentral:rRNA from 1 species